GAUGAACGCUGGCGGCGUGCCUAAUACAUGCAAGUCGAGCGAACGGACGAGAAGCUUGCUCCUCUGAUGUUAGCGGCGGACGGGUGAGUAACACGUGGAUAACCUACCUAUAAGACUGGGAUAACUUCGGGAAACCGUAGCUAAUACCGGAUAAUAUAUUGAACCGCAUGGUUCAAAAGUGAAAGACGGUUUUGCUGUCACUUAUAGAUGGAUCCGCGCUGCAUUAGCUAGUUGGUAAGGUAACGGCUUACCAAGGCAACGAUGCGUAGCCGACCUGAGAGGGUGAUCGGCCACACUGGAACUGAGACACGGUCCAGACUCCUACGGGAGGCAGCAGUAGGGAAUCUUCCGCAAUGGGCGAAAGCCUGACGGAGCAACGCCGCGUGAGUGAUGAAGGUCUUCGGAUCGUAAAACUCUGUUAUUAGGGAAGAACAGAUGUGUAAGUAACUGUGCACGUCUUGACGGUACCUAAUCAGAAAGCCACGGCUAACUACGUG
rnacentral:rRNA from 1 species